AAAUUGAAGAGUUUGAUCAUGGCUCAGAUUGAACGCUGGCGGCAGGCCUAACACAUGCAAGUCGAACGGUAGCACAGAGAGCUUGCUCUCGGGUGACGAGUGGCGGACGGGUGAGUAAUGUCUGGGAAACUGCCUGAUGGAGGGGGAUAACUACUGGAAACGGUGGCUAAUACCGCAUAACGUCGCAAGACCAAAGAGGGGGACCUUCGGGCCUCUUGCCAUCAGAUGUGCCCAGAUGGGAUUAGCUAGUUGGUGAGGUAACGGCUCACCAAGGCGACGAUCCCUAGCUGGUCUGAGAGGAUGACCAGCCACACUGGAACUGAGACACGGUCCAGACUCCUACGGGAGGCAGCAGUGGGGAAUAUUGCACAAUGGGCGCAAGCCUGAUGCAGCCAUGCCGCGUGUAUGAAGAAGGCCUUCGGGUUGUAAAGUACUUUCAGCGGGGAGGAAGGUGUUGUGGUUAAUAACCGCAGCAAUUGACGUUACCCGCAGAAGAAGCACCGGCUAACUCCGUGCCAGCAGCCGCGGUAAUACGGAGGGUGCAAGCGUUAAUCGGAAUUACUGGGCGUAAAGCGCACGCAGGCGGUCUGUCAAGUCGGAUGUGAAAUCCCCGGGCUCAACCUGGGAACUGCAUUCGAAACUGGCAGGCUUGAGUCUUGUAGAGGGGGGUAGAAUUCCAGGUGUAGCGGUGAAAUGCGUAGAGAUCUGGAGGAAUACCGGUGGCGAAGGCGGCCCCCUGGACAAAGACUGACGCUCAGGUGCGAAAGCGUGGGGAGCAAACAGGAUUAGAUACCCUGGUAGUCCACGCCGUAAACGAUGUCUACUUGGAGGUUGUGCCCUUGAGGCGUGGCUUCCGGAGCUAACGCGUUAAGUAGACCGCCUGGGGAGUACGGCCGCAAGGUUAAAACUCAAAUGAAUUGACGGGGGCCCGCACAAGCGGUGGAGCAUGUGGUUUAAUUCGAUGCAACGCGAAGAACCUUACCUGGUCUUGACAUCCACAGAACUUUCCAGAGAUGGACUGGUGCCUUCGGGAACUGUGAGACAGGUGCUGCAUGGCUGUCGUCAGCUCGUGUUGUGAAAUGUUGGGUUAAGUCCCGCAACGAGCGCAACCCUUAUCCUUUGUUGCCAGCGGUUAGGCCGGGAACUCAAAGGAGACUGCCAGUGAUAAACUGGAGGAAGGUGGGGAUGACGUCAAGUCAUCAUGGCCCUUACGACCAGGGCUACACACGUGCUACAAUGGCGCAUACAAAGAGAAGCGACCUCGCGAGAGCAAGCGGACCUCAUAAAGUGCGUCGUAGUCCGGAUUGGAGUCUGCAACUCGACUCCAUGAAGUCGGAAUCGCUAGUAAUCGUGGAUCAGAAUGCCACGGUGAAUACGUUCCCGGGCCUUGUACACACCGCCCGUCACACCAUGGGAGUGGGUUGCAAAAGAAGUAGGUAGCUUAACCUUCGGGAGGGCGCUUACCACUUUGUGAUUCAUGACUGGGGUGAAGUCGUAACAAGGUAACCGUAGGGGAACCUGCGGUUGGAUCACCUCCUUACCUGAAAGAAGC
rnacentral:rRNA from 1 species